rnacentral:rRNA from 1 species
CAGCACCUCAAGUGGUCAGGAUGAUUAUUGGGCCUAAAGCAUCCGUAGCCGGCGCUGUAAGUUUUCGGUUAAAUCUGUACGCUCAACGUACAGGCUGCCGGGAAUACUGCAGCGCUAGGGAGUGGGAGAGGUAGACGGUACUCGGUAGGAAGGGGUAAAAUCCUUUGAUCUAUUGAUGACCACCUGUGGCGAAGGCGGUCUACCAGAACACGUCCGACGGUGAGGGACGAAAGCCAGGGGAGCAAACCGGAUUAGAGACCCGAGUAGUCC